UUUAUGGAGAGUUUGAUCCUGGCUCAGGAUGAACGCUGGCGGCGUGCCUAAUACAUGCAAGUCGAGCGAACGGACGAGAAGCUUGCUUCUCUGAUGUUAGCGGCGGACGGGUGAGUAACACGUGGAUAACCUACCUAUAAGACUGGGAUAACUUCGGAAACCGUAGCUAAUACCGGAUAAUAUUUUGAACCGCAUGGUUCAAAAGUGAAAGACGGUCUUGCUGUCACUUAUAGAUGGAUCCGCGCUGCAUUAGCUAGUUGGUAAGGUAACGGCUUACCAAGGCAACGAUGCAUAGCCGACCUGAGAGGGUGAUCGGCCACACUGGAACUGAGACACGGUCCAGACUCCUACGGGAGGCAGCAGUAGGGAAUCUUCCGCAAUGGGCGAAAGCCUGACGGAGCAACGCCGCGUGAGUGAUGAAGGUCUUCGGAUCGUAAAACUCUGUUAUUAGGGAAGAACAUAUGUGUAAGUAACUGUGCACAUCUUGACGGUACCUAAUCAGAAAGCCACGGCUAACUACGUGCCAGCAGCCGCGGUAAUACGUAGGUGGCAAGCGUUAUCCGGAAUUAUUGGGCGUAAAGCGCGCGUAGGCGGUUUUUUAAGUCUGAUGUGAAAGCCCACGGCUCAACCGUGGAGGGUCAUUGGAAACUGGAAAACUUGAGUGCAGAAGAGGAAAGUGGAAUUCCAUGUGUAGCGGUGAAAUGCGCAGAGAUAUGGAGGAACACCAGUGGCGAAGGCGACUUUCUGGUCUGUAACUGACGCUGAUGUGCGAAAGCGUGGGGAUCAAACAGGAUUAGAUACCCUGGUAGUCCACGCCGUAAACGAUGAGUGCUAAGUGUUAGGGGGUUUCCGCCCCUUAGUGCUGCAGCUAACGCAUUAAGCACUCCGCCUGGGGAGUACGACCGCAAGGUUGAAACUCAAAGGAAUUGACGGGGACCCGCACAAGCGGUGGAGCAUGUGGUUUAAUUCGAAGCAACGCGAAGAACCUUACCAAAUCUUGACAUCCUUUGACAACUCUAGAGAUAGAGCCUUCCCCUUCGGGGGACAAAGUGACAGGUGGUGCAUGGUUGUCGUCAGCUCGUGUCGUGAGAUGUUGGGUUAAGUCCCGCAACGAGCGCAACCCUUAAGCUUAGUUGCCAUCAUUAAGUUGGGCACUCUAAGUUGACUGCCGGUGACAAACCGGAGGAAGGUGGGGAUGACGUCAAAUCAUCAUGCCCCUUAUGAUUUGGGCUACACACGUGCUACAAUGGACAAUACAAAGGGCAGCGAAACCGCGAGGUCAAGCAAAUCCCAUAAAGUUGUUCUCAGUUCGGAUUGUAGUCUGCAACUCGACUACAUGAAGCUGGAAUCGCUAGUAAUCGUAGAUCAGCAUGCUACGGUGAAUACGUUCCCGGGUCUUGUACACACCGCCCGUCACACCACGAGAGUUUGUAACACCCGAAGCCGGUGGAGUAACCUUUUAGGAGCUAGCCGUCGAAGGUGGGACAAAUGAUUGGGGUGAAGUCGUAACAAGGUAGCCGUAUCGGAAGGUGCGGCUGGAUCACCUCCUUUCU
rnacentral:rRNA from 1 species